rnacentral:misc_RNA from 1 species
UCCGAGUUGUCCCCGGCAGUCCUCUUAGAGUCCCCGGCAUUACCCGCUGGCAACUAAGAGCAGGGGUUGUGCUCGUUGCGGCACUUAAGCCAACACCUCACGGCACGAGCUGACGACAGCCAUGCAGCACCUGUGCAGGGCCCCGAAGGACACGGGCUUUCACCCGCUUUACCCUGCAUGUCAAGCCCAGGUAAGGUUCUUCGCGUUGCAUCGAAUUAAGCCACAUGCUCCACCGCUUGUGCGGGCCCCCGUCAAUUCCUUAGAGUUUCAUUCUUGCGAACGUACUCCCCAGGUGGUAUGCUUACUGCGUUAACUGCGUCACUGCCCCCGAAGGGACAAACCGGAGGAAGGUGGGGAUGACGUCGAAUACGUAAC